GACGAACGCUGGCGGCGUGCUUAACACAUGCAAGUCGAACGGAAAGGCCCUGCUUUUGUGGGGUGCUCGAGUGGCGAACGGGUGAGUAACACGUGAGUAACCUGCCCUUGACUUUGGGAUAACUUCAGGAAACUGGGGCUAAUACCGGAUAGGAGCUCCUGCUGCAUGGUGGGGGUUGGAAAGUUUCGGCGGUUGGGGAUGGACUCGCGGCUUAUCAGCUUGUUGGCGGGGUAGUGGCUUACCAAGGCUUUGACGGGUAGCCGGCCUGAGAGGGUGACCGGCCACAUUGGGACUGAGAUACGGCCCAGACUCCUACGGGAGGCAGCAGUGGGGAAUAUUGCACAAUGGGCGGAAGCCUGACGCAGCAACGCCGCGUGCGGGAUGACGGCCUUCGGGUUGUAAACCGCUUUCGCCUGUGACGAAGCGUGAGGGACGGUAAUGGGUAAAGAAGCACCGGCUAACUACGU
rnacentral:rRNA from 1 species